GACGAACGCUGGCGGCGUGCCUAAUACAUGCAAGUCGAACGCUUCUUUCCUCCCGAGUGCUUGCACUCAAUUGGAAAGAGGAGUGGCGACGGGUGAGUAACACGUGGGUAACCUACCCAUCAGAGGGGGAUAACACUUGGAAACAGGUGCUAAUACCGCAUAACAGUUUAUGCCGCAUGGCAUAAGAGUGAAAGGCGCUUUCGGGUGUCGUUGAUGGAUGGACCCGCGGUGCAUUAGCUAGUUGGUGAGGUAACGGCUCACCAAGGCCACGAUGCAUAGCCGACCUGAGAGGGUGAUCGGCCACACUGGGACUGAGACACGGCCCAGACUCCUACGGGAGGCAGCAGUAGGGAAUCUUCGGCAAUGGACGAAAGUCUGACCGAGCAACGCCGCGUGAGUGAAGAAGGUUUUCGGAUCGUAAAACUCUGUUGUUAGAGAAGAACAAGGACGUUAGUAACUGAACGUCCCCUGACGGUAUCUAACCAGAAAGCCACGGCUAACUACGUG
rnacentral:rRNA from 1 species